rnacentral:rRNA from 1 species
GCGGCGUGCCUAACACAUGCAAGUUGAGCGAGAAAUCACUUAAAGAAGCUUCGGUAGACUUAAGAGAUGGAGAGCAGCGGACGGGUGAGUAACGCGUGGGAAACCUGCCCUUGACAGGAGGAUAGCCGAGAGAAAUUUCGAUUAAUACUUCAUAAAGCAGAGCAUUCGCAUGGAUGAACUGCCAAAGAAUUAUCGGUCAAGGAUGGUCCCGCGUCUGAUUAGCUGGUUGGUAAGGUAGCGGCUUACCAAGGCGACGAUCAGUAGCCGGCCUGAGAGGGUGAACGGCCACAUUGGAACUGAGACACGGUCCAGACUCCUACGGGAGGCAGCAGUGGGGAAUAUUGCACAAUGGGCGAAAGCCUGAUGCAGCAACGCCGCGUGAAGGAAGAAGGCUUUCGAGUCGUAAACUUCUGUCCAAAGGGAAGAAUAAUGACGGUACCUUUGAAGAAAGCCCCGGCUAACUACGUGCCAGCAGCCGCGGUAAUACGUAGGGGGCGAGCGUUAUCCGGAAUUACUGGGCGUAAAGAGUAUGUAGGUGGUUAAGUAAGCGUAGGGUUUAAGGCGACAGCCCAACUGUCGUAUGCCCCGCGAACUGUUUAACUUGAGUACAGGAGGGGAAGGCGGAAUUCCUAGUGUAGCGGUGAAAUGCGUAGAUAUUAGGAGGAACACCAGUGGCGAAGGCGGCCUUCUGGACUGUAACUGACACUGAGAUACGAAAGCGUGGGUAGCAAACAGG